GACGAACGCUGGCGGCGUGCUUAACACAUGCAAGUCGAGCGGUAAGGCCCUUUCGGGGGUACACGAGCGGCGAACGGGUGAGUAACACGUGGGUGACCUGCCCUCAGCUCUGGGAUAAGCCUGGGAAACCGGGUCUAAUACUGGAUAUGACUCCAUGACGCAUGUUGUGGGGUGGAAAGCCUUGUGCGGCUGAGGAUGGGCCCGCGGCCUAUCAGCUUGUUGGUGGGGUGANGGCCUACCAAGGCGACGACGGGUAGCCGGCCUGAGAGGGCGACCGGCCACACUGGGACUGAGACACGGCCCAGACUCCUACGGGAGGCAGCAGUGGGGAAUCUUGCGCAAUGGGCGAAAAGCCUGACGCAGCGACGCCGCGUGAGGGAUGACGGCCUCGGUGUAA
rnacentral:rRNA from 1 species